rnacentral:lncRNA from 1 species
UCGGAGGAGGGAGUUGGGAGGAAAGCGGCGGCGGUGGCGGCUUCAACAGCAGCUCUUGCCCUUAAGGAACAAUGCCUCCAGUCGGAUCCUGCGUCAUUCUGGCUGCCUUGGCCUUUCCUUUCCUCAGUUGAGCCAGGAAACACAAAGAUGGUGCAGACCCAGGCCCUGCUUUGACUGGGAGAAAGAUGCAUUCAGUUGACUAAAACUUGAACCACAGCAUGUUCCGAAGAGAUGAUUGGAAGAUGGAAGUGGAGGGUUAAAUAAUGAAAUGCAGCUAACAUUUCGGAAAGUUUCUAAAAGUUGUACAACAUGCCCUACAGCUACUCUUUAAAUCUCCAAAUCAAAUGAGUUUCAGGUGGAGCCUCUGGGAGGUGAUGAGGUCAUGAGAGUGGAGCCUCAUGAAUGGGAUGAGCACUCCUACAAAAAGGAUUCCAGAGAGCUCGCUUGCUCCUUCCACAGUGUGAGGACACAGAGGGAAGGCUCUGUCUAUGAAUGAGAAAGUGGGUCCCCACCAGACAUUGAAUCUGCCGCAUCUUGAUACUGGACUUCCAGUCUCCAGAACUGUGGGCAAUAAAUGUCUGUUGUUUAUUACCUGUCCAGUAUCUUUGGUAUUUUGCUAUAGCAACCCAAAUGGACUAAGAAAACACCAGAGGCCAUACCUAAUAAAAAUAUUGACAUCACA